CUCAAAGACCCUUUUGGUUUGCUGAUUCUCAAAAAUUGGGAAGUACUGCAAAAAUCAUCUGGCAACCAGAAGUGAAUGCAACACUCCAGAUGAAUUGUGAAAAGUACCGAAUUUUCGCCUUUAUUCAGACGCCUGUGCUCCUUUUUUCCAACCAUCUGCUUCUAUAAAUUCAUCACAAUUCUAAUACGGUGUGCGCCCCUCCUCCUUCCCUUACCCUGACCCUAACCUUCCAACCGUUGAUUCCUGCAGCAAUCUUCCCUAAGGGAGACACCCCGGCUGUAGGCUCACUUCCUCUCCCAAGUCCCAUUCCUUUCACAAGAGUCAAAUCCCUACAGUGGAUUCCUGGACCGUUUUUUCUAAAAGAAGAUCCCAGUCCUCUGGCUUGCCCCUCCCGUCGUGACUCCCAGAUCCCCAUCACAAGGAGGGGAGGGCUACCAUCCCAGCUGCAAACUCUCAUUCAAAGUUUAUGCUGCAGCCAGCAGUGUCCUUGGAGUCUAGUUCAAAGCUGAAGAGAGUGAACCAUGGAACUGGGAGCCAUUGGCGGAGAGGCUGGCCUGAAGGAAGGGAAGUGUUUCAGCCAGAAUGCACUGACGCACAACCAGGAAACCACAAGACUGGUGAGAACCUUUCCAAAACUGAGCUUUAUGAUCAAA
rnacentral:lncRNA from 1 species